CUCACGUUAGAUAAAACCAUAAAAAUAGGUCAGUAGAGUUAUACCAGUGGUUAUUAUUUAUAAACUCAGCCCUCUUGGACCUUUUGCUGUCAUAUUUACCCAUGCCGGGAGUUCAUGCAACACUCAUCUAUUAUGUAGCGUGUUAUUUUCGGCCUUGCGGUCGGCUGCUUAAUGAUCCAUGCUGGCCCUGUCCUCGCCUUCCGCCGCGGCCCACCACGCCACAAGGACAACUACAUCAGAACCUCACCUAACCACGGCAACGAUUAACUACUAUAUGGUACGACCUAACAGACGCAGCCAUACUAUAUACUAUUCAACAGUCUCAAACCACUUCGACUGCACAUCUACUUCUACACUAUAUUUACAUAUCCUUUAGAAACCUCAACUCCGCGAUUCCGAGCUAGACGACAAAGCCACCACUGUGAAAGCGACACUUUGCAACGAGAAAAUCAAGAGAAACUCCUUAGAAUAACGAAGAACCAGCUCCCCUUUCUCCUCCUCCUUUGGAAUCAUGUAGCUAUCCACAACCAUGGUGCUUUUUCUCGCCCUCCCAAGUUUCUAUUCCAGAACCUCUCCUCAGCGCAAGAGCACCACAUCGAGCACCGCAUCUAGCACCGCAUCCUCCACAAAUGAACACCCUGUCUCGGCAAGUACCCUUUCCUCCAUCUCGAAAUCCCCUUCUUCAUCAGCGACGCCCGACAAAGCACCAAAGCCACCUCCUGCCGCUGCUGCCGGCUCAUCGACAAUCACCGAAGCCCUUCGCGGAAACCCAUUUGGCAUAGUUUCACGAACAAAAGCGCCUAGCAAUGUCGCAGCCGGCGAAACGAUCGAAGAGGAGAAAGAGCGUGAUCGCCGCGAACUGAACGAUGCGCUGGCUAUGUUGGCACAACUGUUUCCCGAUGUGAAGAUUGAGGUCUUUCGCGAAUUGUUAGUUAGAUUCGAUGGGAAGAGCAGGUUACAUGUUUGUGUAGAGCAGCUGUUGAGAUAUAGGGCUGAAUGGGUCAAAGGAAGAUGGAAUGUCCCUGAGCUGGAUGCUAAGGCUAGUGGUGGUGGUGGUGUUGAUGGAGCUCCUGGUCGAGGUGCCAUGGCAGUAGACGGGAAUGGGGAUGCGCACGGAAGAAGGAGGAGAUGGAUACCCCAUGAAGAGCUGUUUCAGAGCGAGGAGUACAAGGCUGCGGUCAAAUCGGCCCUGUCUCUGGAAUUCCGUGUUUUAAGCAGAAGUGCCAUCGAUGCGGUGCUGGCGGAGGUUAAUUUCUCGUACGCCCGUGCCCGCCCGACGCUGCAGGAGCUAUCCCGCAAGAGCUGGCGAGUGACGUUUGGGAAUAUAUUUCCUUUCAAGAGGAAGAAGGAGAGGGAUGAUCACCCGCUCUUGUCUUGGGAGAGAUUGCCUGAUGGGGAACUUAUGCCCCGACUAAAAGAAACUGGUUGCUCGGAACUUAAUCGGGAGCUGCAUGAUACAUAUCUGGCCCCAUUACUGGCUCGGAGAAAGGAGGAGCAGGAAGCUACUGGGCUGAAGCUCGCAGAAGAGCUUAAUAAAUUCGAGGCAGAAGCUGCAGAAGCCCUUUACGAAUGCGAUUGCUGUUUGUCAGACGUUACUUUUGAGCAGAUAUCUACUUGCUCAGUCAACUCGCAUAUUAUCUGUUUCCAUUGCAUCCAGCGCACCAUCCAUGAGUCCCUCUUUGGACAAGGCUGGAGCAGGUCCAUUGACCAUGAAAAGUCAACGCUACGAUGCCUAGCACCUAUGUCAGAGGGCAUUUGCGAGGGUACUCUGGACCCGGCGAUUGUGAAACGAGCGAUUCUCGCUGAAAAGACCGGAGCGGAAACAUACCAAAAGUUCGAAGAUCGCCUGGUUUCGGAAUGCCUUCUGAAAUCUCAGCUAAAACUGAUCCGCUGCCCAUCGUGUGGGUAUGCGGAAGUAGACCCCGUUUACCAUCCAUCAGCAAAGGGGCUCACUUGGCGCUUCCGGCGGGGAAGCCUCCUUCCAACAAUAGCUACGAUAAUUUUUGUUCUCGAUUUGAUACCCCUUCUCAUCAUUCCAGUUUUAUAUUUUCUCCUAUUCAACCCGUCAAUGAUAUCCACCAUCCUAUCUUCCUCGCUGCGGAACAUUUGUCUUAAGACCCGCCACCAACGGUUUACUUGCUCAAACCCUGCCUGCAGCUCUGAUAGCUGUAUUACGUGCCACAAGCCAUGGCAAGAUCCCCACCGCUGCCAUGAGCCUCUGCUCCAAUCUCUCCGAACAACCGUCGAAGCUGCCCGAACAGCCGCUAUCAAACGAACUUGUCCAAGGUGCGGCCUCUCUUUCGUCAAAUCGUCUGGCUGCAAUAAACUCACCUGUGUAUGUGGGUACUCUAUGUGUUAUAUAUGCCGCAAAGCUCUAGGUCCACCACUUAGAGUAGCUGGCGCCAACAAUAUCCUAGUCGUUCGCCCACCACGACAGCCAGCACAACCUCAGAAUCGGCGACCCUGUCAUGACAUACUUCAAAUCAAUGGGGAAAAUGCUCCCUUUGACGACUAUGACCUAGAUGGGAACUUAAUAAUGAACAUGCCAGCCGACGAGAAUGGCCACGAUGACGACGAAUAUAAUAACCACAACAAUAACAAUAACGAAACUAAUCCGGCGGAAGACGAAGAGCCAGAGGGCUACAAACAUUUCUGCGAGCAUUUCCGUGCCAACCCCGGCUCCCGCUGCACCGAAUGCACCAAAUGUGACCUUUACCUCACCGAGGAUGAGGAAGCUGUCGCACGACGUGCGGGCGAAAGGGCAGAGCGCCAGUGGCGCAUUAGGCAGGGUCUACUCAAUUCCUCAUCAUUGUCGUCCCAAGGGGUCACUCUACCCAGCGAUGCCCUUGCAAAGCUUUACGAUAUGUCUAGUGGUAGUCGUAGUAGGGGUGGUGUGCCCCAGUACCCCGGGUAUAGAAGCCCUGUCGCCGGGCCGCUGGACUGGAAUUGGCAGCUCGACGCAAGUGAUUGGAGGAGGCAAUGGAAGUUUUGGAUGCGGGAUAUAUGGCGGAAUGGGAGGUGGAAGGGCGAGGGACAGUAUAUGAUUGAUAUGUUAUUGGAAAAGAUAGUUGUUGUUGAUUUUUAGGGAAGAUUUUGCUUUUGUUCUCUUUGUCCUAUUUCCUCUUCUCCUAUUCCCCUCCCCCCUUCCUCUACUCCUUUUCUAAUGAUGUUUUAUACUGUGAUAUACGUUUGAUUCGCCUUCUGUUUUCUUCCUCUCUUUUUUCCCCCUCAGUGGUGCUUUGUUCGCUUGUCUCCCGCUAUCUAGCCAGGUAUGUUGGGAUUAUAUGACGUGAAAAGAAAUAUGGAACUGGACGCAAUUGAUUUCCACGAGUUCCUUUCACCUCUAUAACUAUUUAAAUUUAUACGACUGCUUUUUACUUCAAUUUCCUGUUCCGUGCAAUACCAUU
rnacentral:sRNA from 2 species